rnacentral:rRNA from 1 species
CCUACGGGCGGCAGCAGUGAGGAAUAUUGGUCAAUGGACGAGAGUCUGAACCAGCCAAGUAGCGUGAAGGAUGACUGCCCUAUGGGUUGUAAACUUCUUUUAUAUGGGAGUAAAAUGUUCCACGUGUGGGAUUUUGUAUGUACCCUAUGAAUAAGGAUCGGCUAACUCCGUGCCAGCAGCCGCGGUAAUACGGGGGGUCCGAGCGUUAUCCGGAUUUAUUGGGUUUAAAGGGAGCGUAGGGGGAUUGUUAAAUCAGUGGUGAAAGUUUGCGGAUCAAACGCAGAAUUGCAGUUGAAACUGGCAGGCUUGAGUACAGUAGAGGUAGGCGGAAUGCGUGGUGUAGCGGUGAAAUGCUUAGAUAUCACGAAGAACUACGAUUGCGAAGGCAGCUCACUGGACUGCAACUGACACUGAGGCUCGAAAGUGUGGGUAUCAAACAGGAUUAGAUACCCGAGUAGUC